CAAUAGCGUAUAUUAAAGUUGUUGCGGUUAAAAAGCUCGUAGUUGGAUUUCUGCUGAGGUUGACCGUUCCAUUUAAUCUUAGGAGUGAACGUGAUCAUGGCUCGACCGAGGCUUCUUCUAGAUGUAGCACUUGCACUUCAUUGUGUGGUGCGAAAUCUGGGCUUUUACUUUGAGGAAAUUAGAGUGUUUCAAGCAGGCGAAUGCCUUGAAUACAUUAGCAUGGAAUAAUACGAUAGGACUUUGGUUCUAUUUUGUUGGUUUCUAGGACCGAAGUAAUGAUUAAUAGGGAUAGUCGGGGCAUUCGUACUUAACUGUCAGAGGUGAAAUUCUUGGAUUUGUUAAAGACGAACUACUGCGAAAGCAUUUGCCAAGGAUGUUUUCAUUGAUCAAGAACGAAAGUUAGGGAUCGAAGACGAUUAGAUACCGU
rnacentral:rRNA from 1 species